AAGUCGUAACAAGGUCUCCGUUGGUGAACCAGCGGAGGGAUCAUUACCGAGUUUACAACUCCCAAACCCCUGUGAACAUACCUAUCGUUGCCUCGGCGGUGCCCGCUCCGGCGGCCCGCCAGAGGACCCCAAACUCUUGUUUUAUACAGUAUCUUCUGAGUAACACGAUUAAAUAAAUCAAAACUUUCAACAACGGAUCUCUUGGUUCUG
rnacentral:misc_RNA from 2 species